GCCUUCGUGGUGUAGUGGUCAGCACGCUCGGCGCGUAUUCGAGAGGUCCGUGGUUCGACUCCUGGCGAGGGCA
rnacentral:tRNA from 1 species